rnacentral:rRNA from 1 species
UGCAUAGCCGACCUGAGAGGGUGAUCGGCCACAUUGGGACUGAGACACGGCCCAAACUCCUACGGGAGGCAGCAGUAGGGAAUCUUCGGCAAUGGACGAAAGUCUGACCGAGCAACGCCGCGUGAGUGAAGAAGGUUUUCGGAUCGUAAAACUCUGUUGUUAGAGAAGAACAAGGAUGAGAGUAACUGUUCAUCCCUUGACGGUAUCUAACCAGAAAGCCACGGCUAACUACGUGCCAGCAGCCGCGGUAAUACGUAGGUGGCAAGCGUUGUCCGGAUUUAUUGGGCGUAAAGCGAGCGCAGGCGGUUUCUUAAGUCUGAUGUGAAAGCCCCCGGCUCAACCGGGGAGGGUCAUUGGAAACUGGGAGACUUGAGUGCAGAAGAGGAGAGUGGAAUUCCAUGUGUAGCGGUGAAAUGCGUAGAUAUAUGGAGGAACACCAGUGGCGAAGGCGGCUCUCUGGUCUGUAACUGACGCUGA